CACCAUGACAACUUCUCUCUCUACAGUGUCACCAUGAUGACCCCUCACUAUUGACCCAUCACCUUGGCAACCUCUUAAUGCAGCUCUCACAUUUUUGUUACUGCAGUUGUCUUAUUUUCACACCUUCACCAUCAGCGACACCUCCGAUUUUUUAAGGUUAACAUAAAUCAUAAUUUUGUCAGAUAUCUUACAGAUAUAUAAAUUCUCACUAAUGACUUCAUGUACAGAAUUGUAAUAUUAGCUUUUUAAUUCCUUUAGCAGAACCUUCACCAAAUAAACAGCCAUUUGAAAAUUCAUGCAUUUAAAUCAACUCAACAAAUCAAAAGUUGUUUUAAAACAUGACAGAAGCAUCCACUCGCUCAUAGCAUGCGAUGACCUUUGUUGUUUGCAAUGAUUAUACGCUGUGAGUGUUUUCGGUUCUCGGAUCACAGGACAGGACCACUUAUGUUUUCAUUGCCAGUGUUUUAACUGAAGUGUAGUUCAUAUUUAGAGCAGAAGGGGGCGCACACGCACUGCAUACAGUGACUAUAGUCUUCAGUUGGCUGUUUUUACAUAAAGCUAGUUAGAACAACUACAGACUAACUUAAACGCUAGGUUUGGUCAGAUCCUCUCUUAUAUUAAUUAGUGCACACAUAUUAUAGUGCAUGAGUCAUAAGGACUAUUUAAUGGUGCCUUUGUGUCUUUUUUGAAGCUUGAAUGUAUCAGUGAAAGAUAUCAUGUUAUAUGAAAGAAUUACAGUCAUCCAGGUUUGAAACAGCCUGAGGAGUCAACUGCUGAUCGCUCACUUUCUCCCGCCAUCACUGAAGGGGUCAGAGAGGUCACCUGUGGCAGUCAUGUACAUGUAUGCCCAUGUGAGAGGAAGGUGAAGGGUAAGAGGUGAAGGAGAGGCUUAUUUUUGGACACGUGCAGGUAGAGUCGACAGGGAGGAAAACAGGUAAGAAUCGAUCUGUUUACACAGGGGUCACGAGUGAAGAACGACCUCCAAAGGCUCAGAGAGAGAAGACAUGCUACGGUAAGAUCACAGUACAAAAUUACAUUUUUGCACCUGCCAGUGAAUGACAACAUUUACCAGCCAUAAAUAGAUUUUACUGCCAUUUACAUUAUUUAUAACAUCAGUGUUGUUAUUACGCAGUGGCAGGAAAGAGGGGAGUCGAGGAUCUAAAUGCAGACAAAAUGUAUUCGAAACACCAACAAAGAUAAUUCAGAACAGGGAGCAGGAACAAGGUAACAAGAUAGGGACAAGGACGAUGCAGCUUUCAGUGAAUGGGUCUUCAGAGGAUCAUACAGGCCUGAUGACAGUGUGGGUCCUCUAGUGUGGGCCGUGUGACCAAAAUCUUGUCCAGUAUAAAGGUAUGU